AGUGAACGCUGGCGGUAGGCCUAACACAUGCAAGUCGAACGGCAGCACAGUAAGAGCUUGCUCUUACGGGUGGCGAGUGGCGGACGGGUGAGGAAUACAUCGGAAUCUACUUUUUCGUGGGGGAUAACGUAGGGAAACUUACGCUAAUACCGCAUACGACCUACGGGUGAAAGCAGGGGAUCUUCGGACCUUGCGCGAUUGAAUGAGCCGAUGUCGGAUUAGCUAGUUGGCGGGGUAAAGGCCCACCAAGGCGACGAUCCGUAGCUGGUCUGAGAGGAUGAUCAGCCACACUGGAACUGAGACACGGUCCAGACUCCUACGGGAGGCAGCAGUGGGGAAUAUUGGACAAUGGGCGCAAGCCUGAUCCAGCCAUACCGCGUGGGUGAAGAAGGCCUUCGGGUUGUAAAGCCCUUUUGUUGGGAAAGAUAAGCGGCAGGUUAAUACCCCGCUGUUCUGACGGUACCCAAAGAAUAAGCACCGGCUAACUUCGUG
rnacentral:rRNA from 1 species